rnacentral:tRNA from 1 species
GCACCCGUAGCUCAGUGGAUAGAGCACCGCCCUCCGAAGGCGGGGGUCGUGAGUUCGAAUCUCGCCGGGUGCACCA